CCUACGGGAGGCAGCAGUGAGGAAUAUUGGUCAAUGGACGAGAGUCUGAACCAGCCAAGUAGCGUGAAGGAUGACUGCCCUAUGGGUUGUAAACUUCUUUUAUAUGGGAAUAAAAUGUUCCACGUGUGGGAUUUUGUAUGUACCAUAUGAAUAAGGAUCGGCUAACUCCGUGCCAGCAGCCGCGGUAAUACGGUGGAUCCGAGCGUUAUCCGGAUUUAUUGGGUUUAAAGGGAGCGUAGGUGGAUGGUUAAGUCAGUUGUGAAAGUUUGGGGCUCAACCGUAAAAUUGCAGUUGAUACUGGCAGUCGUGAGUACAGUAGAGGUGGGCGGAAUGCGAGGUGUAGCGGUGAAAUGCUUAGAGAUCACGAAGAACUCCGAUUGCGAAGGCAGCUCACUGGACUGCAACUGACACUGAGGCUCGAAAGUGUGGGUAUCAAACAGGAUUAGAUACCCGGGUAGUC
rnacentral:rRNA from 1 species